rnacentral:rRNA from 1 species
AACGAACGCUAUCGGUAUGCUUAACACAUGCAAGUCGGACGGACUAAUUAGGGCUUGCUCCAAUUAGUUAGUGGCAGACGGGUGAGUAACACGUGGGAAUCUUCCCCUCAGUACGGAAUAACUUUUAGAAAUAAAAGCUAAUACCGUAUAUUCUCCUCAUAGGAAAGAUUUAUCGCUGAUGAAUGAGCCCGCGUCAGAUUAGGUAGUUGGUGAGGCAACGGCUCACCAAGCCGACGACCUGUAGCUGGUCUGAGAGGAUGAUCAGCUGCACUGGGACUGAGACACGGACUAGACUCCUACGGGAGGCAGCAGUGGAGAAUAUUGGACAAUGGGCGAAAGUCUGAUACAGCAAUACCGAGUGAGUGAGAAAGGCCCUAGUAUUGUAAAGCUCUUUUAGCAAGGAAGAUAAUGACGUUACUUGCAGAAAAAGCCCCGGCUAACUCCGUG